GUGGCGAGUGCGGGCCGAAAGCUAGGUACAGAUUGCACGUGGAGGGCCGCCCGAAGGGCUGUCUCGGGCCUUAACCCGCAUUCUGUACCAUGGGGCGCAAGUUGGACCCUACGAAGAAGGAGAAGCGGGGGCCAGGCCGAAAGGCCCGGAAGCAGAAGGGCGCCGAGACAGAACUCGUCAGAUUCUUGCCUGCGGGUAAGGAUUUGUUGUGGCCUCCUGAUCCCUCAGCUUUUGCAGUAUUCUGUAUCAUAACCUCUUCCCUGUUUUUAGUUUCUGUUCAUUUUCUAUUUAAGUGGAAUCUUCUCUGUAUGAGUUACUGGGAGGUACGAAUGAAACAGUCGUUUAGAUUGUAGGGAACUGUUCAGGUCGUAGAGAUGUGAAGACACGGACACAACUAUUCAUGCAAGGGAAGGUGUGAUUUAAAACAUUGUGAGUUCAGAGGAAGGGGGAUCCCAUGCAGAACUGUAAAAGUUUUUGUUAAGCUGGGUUUUGAAAAAUGGGUAACAU
rnacentral:sRNA from 1 species